UUAUUUAGGUAGGUUUGGGGUAAGAAAAAAAUAAAAAUAAAAUUAACUUAUAGUUGUUUUAAGGUAAAAUGGGACAAAAAAUCACACACAAAAAAAACUCUCGUAUACUCACCGUAAAUAUAUUUACCCGAAACACACCAAAAAUAAAUAAUUUUUUUUAACAAAAACUACUACCUCUCCAAAAUUAACUUAUUGUUUUUUUAUUUUUGUCUUUAAUAGUUUUUAAAUUUUUGGUCAAAAUUUUCACUAUUCUAAUUUGUCUUGAUUUGAGAAAUUAAAAAAGAAUUUUUAAAGGUUAAGACGUAUUUUUUUUCUGAAAAAAAUAAAAAUAUUGAACUUUUGACCUUCAAUUGUAUUUUUGGACUCAAGAUAAAUGUGAAUUGAGACAAGUGGAAUAAGAUUGCACUUCAACCAAUACCAUAAUGG
rnacentral:lncRNA from 1 species